rnacentral:hammerhead_ribozyme from 1 species
AUUCAGUUGAAGAGUCCCAAAUAGGACGAAAUGGACGUCCUGGAC